CGGGGUGGGUGAGGUCGGGC
rnacentral:miRNA from 1 species